rnacentral:lncRNA from 1 species
AAACAUGUUUUUACUUUUAAAAUAUAGUCAUUCCUUGGCAUUGGUUGAGUUUCAUCCUCACGUGGUGGUUCGGCGUGAAGUGAACUCUAAACUUACCUUAGGAGAUACCCUCCGCGCCUCUCAUACUAAGGUAAAAUAUAACGGGGUUUGCUGUACCCCUCUAAUAGGCUAGUCCACAGAGACCCGCCCACUGCAGUAAGCUAAUCAAAUAACCCACCAAAUCAAUAAACAUUUCGACAGCAUUACAUGGCUAAUAUAAUAUUACCCAGCCUAUGUCACGGCAAAACAAAUCUGUUUAUAUAUAUUCCACACAAAACACAAAUUCAGCCAUUCAUGCCAUCACAUUGUCAUAAGCCACCAAUUCAAACCAUAUAUCAAAACACAAGCAUAUAGUCUCCACUUACUCAAUUUCCAAAAUUGGUAUUCAAUUUCAAAACAAGUUAUAAAACUCAUUUCAUUUAACCAAUAAUUCAAUUUUAAAACAUAAUAAUUUACCAUUUAAAUUCAUUAUUCAUUAAAACAUAAAAAUGAGUAGAAACAACUUUAGAUAGUUAAGAUGAAAGCCUGUUACUCACAAUAGUGGGAGUUUGGAGUACUCCUAUUCUUGGUCCUCGGGUACAAUAUCUUUACCCUUAUCAAAGGGCUCACCACCUAUACAUAAUACACGACAUGUAAUUCAAUAUAUUUGUGCCAAUUGUUAUAAAAUUAUUUCAGGCUCUAUAUGAAUGCAUGAAAUUGAAUGAGAAUUGUUCAAAUAAUCAUUUAAAGACGAUGUUUUACAUAGGUUCAAUUAUGAUCGGACUGAAUUUGUAUUUGACCUACUCGAACUAUACACUGUUAAAUCAACCAAAACAUCCAAUUCAACUUCAAAUAUAUUCAUUUCACUUCCAAAAUUCCAAAUACACCUAAGUACCUCAAUGGGCUUAAUUGUGACCUAAUUCACCAUAACCGAAAUUCAUUCCGAUUUCGAUAUCCAACAUCAUAAUUCAUCAAUUCUUAGCUAAAUAACUUGAAAUACAACAAAAUCCAUAAUCAACAUGUCACCCAUAAAAUUCGGCCAAGGAGGGUUUGAUGAAGAACAUGUGGUUUUCAUGCUUGUUUUUCACAUCGAGUAUCACAAAACAACUAAAAACGCAUAUGUAGCAUGAAAUCUAACAAAACCCGUGAUCAAAACCUCUCCCCCUAGGUUCGGCCAGCAUACUUUCCUUCAUGAAAUCUUGAGUUUCAACUAUGGAAAAUGAAAAACAAAACAUGGGAAAGGUAGGUCUUAAGCUAAAAUUGAAAAAUCUUACCUUUAAUUGUUUUGUUCCUUGAAAUUCAACAAAUUUCUCUUGGAUUUUCUUCUCUAGGGUUUGUUCUUAUUCUUUGCCCUUUGUUCUUUGCUUUGGCGGCCAAGAGAG